AGGACGAACGCUGGCGGCGUGCUUAACACAUGCAAGUCGAGCGGAAAGGCCCUUCGGGGUACUCGAGCGGCGAACGGGUGGGUAACACGUGAGUAAUCUGCCCCUAGCUCUGGGAUAGCUCCGGGAAACCGGGAUUAAUACCAGAUACGACCACUUUAGACAUCUGCUGUGGUGGAAAGAAUUUCGGCUAGGGAUGAGCUCGCGGCCUAUCAGCUUGUUGGUGAGGUAACGGCUCACCAAGGCGACGACGGGUA
rnacentral:rRNA from 1 species